UGUCACGGGAUGGGAAUCGAACCCAUGACCUUCCGCUUACCGGGCAGAUGCCAUGACCACUAGGCCACAUGAC
rnacentral:tRNA from 1 species